UACGUAGGGGCAAGCGUUGUCCGGAAUCAUUGGCGUAAGAGCGUGUAGGCGGCUCGGUAAGUCCGCUGUAAAGUCCAGGCUCAACCCUGGAAAGCCGGUGGAACUGUCGAGCUAGAGUCCGGAAGAGGCGAGUGGAAUUCCUGGUGUAGCGGUGAAAUGCGCAGAUAUCAGGAGGAACACCAAUGGCGAAGGCAGCUCGCUGGACGGUACUGACGCUGAGACGCGAAGCGUGGGAGCAAACAGG
rnacentral:rRNA from 1 species